GAGGGCAACCAAACACGGCCGUGGAUGCAAAUUGCAACGCGCCGCGCUGUAAAAUUGUUUUUAAACCCCCGGGCCUGAACCAGAACCAGCUGAACCAGAACCAGCUGGGCCUGACACACCCCACCAGCUCCUCUCCGGCAACGAGGGAGGCUAACGAGUGCGCGCUCCGGCUGCCCUGAGCUUUUUAUGUUACCAUGGUGUUUUAGCAAUGAAGUACUUCCGCUUCCAACAAUCGUAGGCAAAUUAGACACAAGAAUUAUCUUACAUAUAUAUAGAUAUUCAAAUGGAAAUUUACUGUAUAGUACUUGGUACAAGAAAAAAGGAUCACAUGUGGCGACAGAACCAGGAAUAGCCUGCGAUGCUGAUGCCGGUGACAGAGAUGCCACCUGGGGUGCUGCAGCCGCCAGCAAGCUCGCUGGCCGGGACGACGGCGAGGGGCGCGGUGGGUUCGGGCGUCGGGGACACGGCCCGUUUGCAGCAGCGGGCGGCAGUGGUGCCAUUUGCUUCACCGUCAGGGCACCUUGGCACGGGACGUCGGUGAGCCGGAGAGAGGAUUGCCGUGGGAAGUGAGCACAAGAGGAGGAGAUUCAGGUGAUCCAAUUUGUUGAGUGAGGGAGAGAUGGCGAAUGGAUGAGGCACGAAGGAACAAUAAAUAAAAUGGCGGGCGGCUGCGCGCCAUGGAAUCGAUUUGGCGCGAGAUGGAGAAGGAUUUCGCGCGGAAAGGAGGCAUUGGCGCAUGAGAUCUGGCGAGGAGAAAAUUUGCUCCCUCUCGCAACGACUGCGCGUACAACGGAAGCGAAGCCGUCUCAUCUAGCGAAAAUUUCGUCGAUGAGCUCGUUGUUUCAGGAGACAAUGACUUUUCUCUCUCUUCUCUCCCUCUCCCCUCCACGUCAUCAAAAAUCUUAGAUGGCUCUACAUGAGAUCACCUAUGAGACUAGGUGAUGUGUACCAAUGUACUUGCCCUAAUCUCGCUGAAGUUGAAGAAGGCUUCUUUGGGUAGUUUGGGUCGAAUUCAUGCCGCUUCAGGUGAUUGAUGCUUGAUUUGUCACCCGAGCGAUAUACAGCCACGCUGCCAGGGCGCU